CUGCUGCCUUCCGUAGGAGUUUGGGCCGUGUCUCAGUCCCAAUGUGGCCGAUCACCCUCUCAGGUCGGCUAUGUAUCAUCGCCUUGGUGAGCCUUUACCUCACCAACUAGCUAAUACAACGCGGGAUCAUCUUUGAGUGAUGCAAUUGCAUCUUUCAAACUUAAAACUUGUGUUUAAAGUUUUUAUGCGGUAUUAGCAUUCGUUUCCAAAUGUUGUCCCCCGCUCAAAGGCAGAUUCCCCACGCGUUACUCACCCGUUCG
rnacentral:rRNA from 1 species